UACAGAGACCUCAAGCGUUAUCCGGAAUCAUUGGGCGUAAAGCGUACCGAUAGGUGGUUAUACAAGUCAGAAGUGAAAUCUUCGAGCUUAACUCGAAAUCUGUCUUUUGAAACUGUAUGACUAGAGGAGCAAAGAGGAAGCUGGAACAAACGGUGUAGUAGUGAAAUGCGUUGAUAUCGUUUGGAACACCAAUAGCGUAGGCAGGCUUCUGGGUGCUACCUGACACUGCUAGGACGAAAGCGUGGGGAGCGAUAAGG
rnacentral:rRNA from 1 species